rnacentral:lncRNA from 1 species
UGGGCUUCAGGUUUCAAGUCUAAUCAACAUGUUGCUCAUAACAAUUUGUUUGAUGUUAAUUGACAUCUCUUACAUUUACCUUAUGAUACGUAUAAAACUAGAGACACUGAUAUUCUGCAGCACUAAUAUUCCAUCUUUUACAUAAUGCGAAGACAUUGGACAUUGUUGCUGAGAAUCCUGAUAAGUUCAGAGUUGUUGCUCUUGCUGCUGGAUCCAAUGUCACGCUUCUAGCUGAUCAGGUACAGUGAUGUUUUGAGUAGAUUCUUUUCCUUUCGCCCUUUUGUCAAUCUUGAAAGAGAAUUUUGCACUCAUUUGAUCAUUAAGCUUGUAAUACAAACUAUGCACUCAUUUGAGCAUUGUGGAUGUAAUUUACUACAGGUCAAAACAUUCAAACCUAAGUUGGUUGCUGUAAGAAACGAAGCAUUAGUUGAUGAACUAAAAGAAGCCUUAGCUGAUUGCGAAGAGAAGCCAGAAAUUAUUCCUGGGGAGCAAGGAGUCAUAGAAGUAAGGCUUUUCUUAUGAUCCUAUUUCUGCGAAUAACUAAAGGUUUGCUCUGAAAAUUUCUCAAAUAUUCAACUUUUGAGUAAUAGGUCGCUCGACACCCAGAUGCAGUUACAGUUGUCACAGGGAUAGUAGGGUGUGCAGGGCUGAAGGUAAUGCCCCUUCUAUUUAGCAUAUUGCUCUUUGUGCUUUCCUUUAUGUUGGGUGUUCCAAGAAUCUAAUGCUUGUGUAUAAAUGAUAUUUAUAUGCCUAUAUGUAAUAUUUUCCUGUUGUUAGGUCAUAAAUUUAUCUGCACUAAGCUGUGGUUCUAGGAAUCUUUUUUUAAGAAAACAGAAAGCUGUCGUUCUGAAUUCUGAUGUCAUUUGGCUGCAUAAAUCUUUCCUUGUGAACAUGCUUGUAUUUCAUGAAUCAUGGCAAAUAUAUAGUAAGAAAAAUUGUCUAUGAAUUUUAACUAUUUUGGGUUGCUAUAUUUAUACAGUUAGAAUGUGUUAAAAAGGAGUUCAGGUAAUUUUGCCACAAUAAUAUGUAUAGAAUGAAGAUAAAUCUUUACUUCAUUUCCAGACAUAGAUAGGCAUCUCCAAUUCGAAUUUGAUGCAAAAAAAAGCAAUUGGUAGUGGUAUAUAUGUCAUUGUCCUAUUGCCUGCCAUAGUGCCAUAUUUUGUAUCUUCUAAGAACCGAGUUCCAUGGCCCCCUAUUUUUAUAUAGUGCAGUAUCAGCCUAUCAAGAUAAGUGGAGGACCAUCAUCACUAGGUGGUGAUACUUUUAGAUUGCCAAGUAUUUUAAUAUUAUCUUUUUUAUUUCCAUAUUAAUUUGAACUUUAUGUAAAUGGGUGCAGUAUGGUGCACCCAAAUAAAUGAGCAAUUUUAUCAGUGAAUAUAGCUGACUUGGUAACUCUGUAUUGUUCUGUUAGCCUACAGUUGCUGCAAUCGAAGCUGGUAAAGACAUAGCAUUGGCAAACAAGGAGACACUUAUUGCAGGUGGUCCUUUUGUGCUUCCCCUUGCACACAAACACAAUGUGAAAAUUCUUCCUGCUGAUUCUGAGCACUCUGCAAUAUUUCAGGUAUCUCACAAAAUGUUUACUUGUUGCUGCAGCUAUCUUUUUUAUCAUUAUGCAUGUUUGCUGUAAGGUUGGGAAAGAUACAUACUGGCUUUGGGGAGAAAAUGGCAAUUUGACCAUCCUCAAAACUGGUGUUUAAACGAAAUAACAAUACUGAACUUGAAAUAAUGUGGCAAUGCAUUUUAUGUUUUCUGGCAUUCUUUGCUUAUUAGAGUCUGCUUCCCUUGUACCAGUGUAUACAAGGCUUGUCCAAAGGAGCACUUCGUCGCAUUAUUCUAACUGCAUCAGGUGGUGCUUUCAGGCAAGUCCAUCCCUUAUGUGUUAUAUGUACUUCUGGAAACAUACAAAUCCAUCUCAUAUCAUUUGAUCAUGACAGGGACUGGCCAGUUGACAGGCUGAAAGAUGUAAAAGUUGCUGACGCUUUAAAGCAUCCAAACUGGAAUAUGGGAAAGAAGAUCACAGUAGAUUCUGCUACUUUAUUCAACAAGGUGUCUUAGAGCUCCAUUUUGUUUAAAAAAAAUUAUUUAAUCCAUAUUUCAUUAUAUUAAACGCUAAAGUGACGAUUUGGUCUUGUAGGGUUUAGAAGUUAUUGAAGCGCAUUAUUUAUUUGGUGCUGAAUAUGAUGACAUUGAGAUUGUGAUCCACCCACAGUCUAUCAUACACUCUAUGGUUGAAACCCAGGUGAGCCCAAGGUCAUAUGCUUUACUAAAAAGCACAUGUUGAGAUAUUCUGCCCAGAUGUAGUGCUAAUCCUCCUAUGCUGCAUAUUUUCAUUUCCACCUCAUUCUCUUGUAUUAGUGCAUGCCAGCAUCUGAGCAGAUCUCAAGUUUAUGAUUGUUUCAGGUCGUUAUGCUACAUGCAGAAUUGUUUCUGUAAUGGCUUUACAUAUGGUUUAGUAUUGUCUUUAGCAUUCAUGUUCUUUUUUCCCAGGAUUCAUCUGUCCUAGCUCAAUUGGGUUGGCCGGAUAUGCGGAUACCAAUCUUAUACACCUUAUCGUGGCCAGAUAGAAUCUAUUGCUCUGAGGUCACAUGGCCCCGCCUUGAUCUUUGCAAGUAUGACAUCUUCACAACUCCUGUCUACUUUUGCAGUACAGCUGAUGCUUUUAUUUGGAAAUAACCUCCAAGGAUUCAAGUCUUAUUUUUCUUGAUUACAGUAUGGGAUUGUUCUAAUAAGCUACUGGUAUAUGAUGGCAAUACUUGAUAGAUCUGUAUGGGUCAGGGGCACCUGAGUCAGCUGUUGGUGUGUGCAUUUGUGAACGAAUCUGACUUGGGUUUUGAACCAGCAAAUAUGACAACCAUCUCAUAAUUUUUAGGAAACAAAUUUGUGACUGUACUUCAACUGAAUUUUCCGAACAGCUCAUCAAGCUUGGACCUUGACCUAAACUCAUUGCAAUUCUGGUGUCUUUUUGAAUAGUUAUAUGUAUGACUUGAGUUGGUUGACUAGCCCACUUCUAGUUUAGUAAUAACCAAGUAGUAACCAUGGUUAGGUUGCUAAACAUGAACAUGCUUCAUUAAGGAUGUUAAGAAAACAAAAACAUGUUAUGAAACUAAACUUCACACGAUCUCUUAAAUAGUAAGCAUUCCAUGUUAACAGUUUUUGAGCAUUCAGAUUUAAGUUCCAAUUGGUUAAUACAGGUUGGGUUCACUGACGUUCAAAGCUCCUGACAAUGUAAAAUACCCAUCAAUGGACCUAGCGUAUGCAGCUGGGCGGGCUGGGGGCACCAUGACAGGAGUUCUGAGUGCUGCUAAUGAGAAGGCCGUGGAGUUGUUCAUUGAUGAAAAGUACGAUUCUUUUUGCUUAUCAGCUUUUGCCUGCUUUAUUCUAGAUAGAUCAUUGCAUAUUUUAUGUCAUCUUUUGAUUUGGUUUGUGAAAUAUUCUGAAAAUUUUAAGGCCAGAUACGUUAUGCUAAUUGCUGCAAUGAAAAAAAAACUUUGGGCUAACCAAAGUCCAUGGACAUCUACUGCACUUUACUUUAGAAAAGUGAGUUGGGACGAGAAUGUUUGUCCUUAGAGAUAUUAUUCUCAAGCACCUUUUGAGCCUACAUUAUGGAUUAGAAUAGCUAUAGAAUCUUGAUUUAAACUAUCUUUCCAUGUUUAAAUACAAGUUAAAUAUGCUGAGGGUCCUAAAGCUUUUCCUGGAUUCUCAUCUAGGUCCAUGAACUCUCAAAGGGAAGGUUUGAGUGAAUGCACUACCAAGAGAGAACCUAGAGUGAACCUGGUGUGAACCCGAUCCUCACUUUGAGAGUUUAUUAUAGGCCUACGUGAGGAUCAGGGAAAAGUUUAGGGCACUGGUGCUUUUCACUCUUUUAAGUACUUUAUCUUAACAAUGGUCUGCCUGCCAAUAUGAUGGUUUGGUUAUUGGGAUAGUGUCGGUCAUAGACAAGGGUUUUUCUCUGCAUGAGAAGAUAUUGAUUUAUACACUCAACUUGUCGAGGUAAAGCACCAUGCUCCAGAAUUUGAUAGAGAAAACUUCAUCAUGGCACAAGCAUAUGCUUUACACAAUUAGUUCAACUAGGAGGAAGGUCUGCAACUACAGCCAGUUGUUCAUCAGAGGGAAAGAAAGAACUAAUUUGCAAUCAUCCGUUAUAUAUUGAUAUUCAUACAAAGGAAGUCAGUUGACCUUUUAGUUUGGUUUACAGGAUUAGCUACCUGGACAUAUUCAAGGUGGUGGAACUUACAUGUGACGCGCAUCGGAACGAGCUGGUAAGAAGUCCUUCACUCGAGGAGAUCAUCCAUUAUGAUCUGUGGGCGAGGAGAUAUGCAGCUAGCCUACAACCAUCUUCUGGCCUGAGCCCUGUCCCU